UACGAAGGGGGCUAGCGUUGCUCGGAAUUACUGGGCGUAAAGCGCACGUAGGCGGCGGGGCCAGUCUGAUGUGAAAUCCCGGGGCUCAACCCCGGAACUGCAUUGGAUACUGCCUUGCUAGAGUACUGGAGAGGAAACUGGAAUUUACGGUGUAGCAGUGAAAUGCGUAGAGAUCGUAAGGAAGGCCGGUGGCGAAGGCGAGUUCCUGGACAGUUACUGACGCUGAGGCACGAAGGCCAGGGGAGCAAACGGG
rnacentral:rRNA from 1 species